UAGGCGAGGAUAGCUUACUAGUCAGGAUGACAAAUGGACCACUUCAGGAUGAAGUUAGGGACACCUCUAGGAUUGAGGCAUAAAGGAACACUUCAGGACGAAGUAAAGGACACCUCCAGGAAGGAGAAGAGAGUCGAAGCAGGAUGAUUCGACGGGUCAGGGUAAGGCCAAGGACAACUUCAGGAAGAAGAUUUAAGGGAUAGCGCUGAAGGAUUACAGCGAUUCAACGGAAGGAUGCAGGGAGCACCAUAGUAGCCGGAUUGCUGCAAGUAAGACCUAAGGGCGCGACGCAAGUCGCGCCCGCUCUUUUUGGG
rnacentral:other from 1 species